rnacentral:rRNA from 1 species
UUAAGUUAUUAAGGGCGCACGGUGGAUGCCUUGGCACUAGAAGCCGAUGAAGGACGUUACUAACGACGAUAUGCUUUGGGGAGCUGUAAGUAAGCUUUGAUCCAGAGAUUUCCGAAUGGGGAAACCCAGCAUGAGUUAUGUCAUGUUAUCGAUAUGUGAAUACAUAGCAUAUCAGAAGGCACACCCGGAGAACUGAAACAUCUUAGUACCCGGAGGAAGAGAAAGAAAAUUCGAUUCCCUUAGUAGCGGCGAGCGAAACGGGAAGAGCCCAAACCAACAAGCUUGCUUGUUGGGGUUGUAGGACACUCUAUACGGAGUUACAAAGGACGACAUUAGACGAAUCAUCUGGAAAGAUGAAUCAAAGAAGGUAAUAAUCCUGUAGUCGAAAAUGUUGUCUCUCUUGAGUGGAUCCUGAGUACGACGGAGCACGUGAAAUUCCGUCGGAAUCUGGGAGGACCAUCUCCUAAGGCUAAAUACUCUCUAGUGACCGAUAGUGAACCAGUACCGUGAGGGAAAGGUGAAAAGCACCCCGGAAGGGGAGUGAAAUAGAACCUGAAACCGUGUGCUUACAAGUAGUCAGAGCCCGUUAAUGGGUGAUGGCGUGCCUUUUGUAGAAUGAACCGGCGAGUUACGAUUUGAUGCAAGGUUAAGCAGUAAAUGUGGAGCCGUAGCGAAAGCGAGUCUGAAUAGGGCGUUUAGUAUUUGGUCGUAGACCCGAAACCAGGUGAUCUACCCUUGGUCAGGUUGAAGUUCAGGUAACACUGAAUGGAGGACCGAACCGACUUACGUUGAAAAGUGAGCGGAUGAACUGAGGGUAGCGGAGAAAUUCCAAUCGAACCUGGAGAUAGCUGGUUCUCUCCGAAAUAGCUUUAGGGCUAGCCUCAAGUGAUGAUUAUUGGAGGUAGAGCACUGUUUGGACGAGGGGCCCCUCUCGGGUUACCGAAUUCAGACAAACUCCGAAUGCCAAUUAAUUUAACUUGGGAGUCAGAACAUGGGUGAUAAGGUCCGUGUUCGAAAGGGAAACAGCCCAGACCACCAGCUAAGGUCCCAAAAUAUAUGUUAAGUGGAAAAGGAUGUGGCGUUGCCCAGACAACUAGGAUGUUGGCUUAGAAGCAGCCAUCAUUUAAAGAGUGCGUAAUAGCUCACUAGUCGAGUGACACUGCGCCGAAAAUGUACCGGGGCUAAACAUAUUACCGAAGCUGUGGAUUGUCCUUUGGACAAUGGUAGGAGAGCGUUCUAAGGGCGUUGAAGCAUGAUCGUAAGGACAUGUGGAGCGCUUAGAAGUGAGAAUGCCGGUGUGAGUAGCGAAAGACGGGUGAGAAUCCCGUCCACCGAUUGACUAAGGUUUCCAGAGGAAGGCUCGUCCGCUCUGGGUUAGUCGGGUCCUAAGCUGAGGCCGACAGGCGUAGGCGAUGGAUAACAGGUUGAUAUUCCUGUACCACCUAUAAUCGUUUUAAUCGAUGGGGGGACGCAGUAGGAUAGGCGAAGCGUGCGAUUGGAUUGCACGUCUAAGCAGUAAGGCUGAGUAUUAGGCAAAUCCGGUACUCGUUAAGGCUGAGCUGUGAUGGGGAGAAGACAUUGUGUCUUCGAGUCGUUGAUUUCACACUGCCGAGAAAAGCCUCUAGAUAGAAAAUAGGUGCCCGUACCGCAAACCGACACAGGUAGUCAAGAUGAGAAUUCUAAGGUGAGCGAGCGAACUCUCGUUAAGGAACUCGGCAAAAUGACCCCGUAACUUCGGGAGAAGGGGUGCUCUUUAGGGUUAACGCCCAGAAGAGCCGCAGUGAAUAGGCCCAAGCGACUGUUUAUCAAAAACACAGGUCUCUGCUAAACCGUAAGGUGAUGUAUAGGGGCUGACGCCUGCCCGGUGCUGGAAGGUUAAGAGGAGUGGUUAGCUUCUGCGAAGCUACGAAUCGAAGCCCCAGUAAACGGCGGCCGUAACUAUAACGGUCCUAAGGUAGCGAAAUUCCUUGUCGGGUAAGUUCCGACCCGCACGAAAGGCGUAACGAUUUGGGCACUGUCUCAACGAGAGACUCGGUGAAAUCAUAGUACCUGUGAAGAUGCAGGUUACCCGCGACAGGACGGAAAGACCCCGUGGAGCUUUACUGUAGCCUGAUAUUGAAAUUCGGCACAGCUUGUACAGGAUAGGUAGGAGCCUUUGAAACGUGAGCGCUAGCUUACGUGGAGGCGCUGGUGGGAUACUACCCUAGCUGUGUUGGCUUUCUAACCCGCACCACUUAUCGUGGUGGGAGACAGUGUCAGGCGGGCAGUUUGACUGGGGCGGUCGCCUCCUAAAAGGUAACGGAGGCGCUCAAAGGUUCCCUCAGAAUGGUUGGAAAUCAUUCAUAGAGUGUAAAGGCAUAAGGGAGCUUGACUGCGAGACCUACAAGUCGAGCAGGGUCGAAAGACGGACUUAGUGAUCCGGUGGUUCCGCAUGGAAGGGCCAUCGCUCAACGGAUAAAAGCUACCCCGGGGAUAACAGGCUUAUCUCCCCCAAGAGUUCACAUCGACGGGGAGGUUUGGCACCUCGAUGUCGGCUCAUCGCAUCCUGGGGCUGUAGUCGGUCCCAAGGGUUGGGCUGUUCGCCCAUUAAAGCGGUACGCGAGCUGGGUUCAGAACGUCGUGAGACAGUUCGGUCCCUAUCCGUCGUGGGCGUAGGAAAUUUGAGAGGAGCUGUCCUUAGUGCGAGAGGACCGGGAUGGACAUACCUCUGGUGUACCAGUUGUCGUGCCAACGGCAUAGCUGGGUAGCUAUGUGUGGACGGGAUAAGUGCUGAAAGCAUCUAAGCAUGAAGCCCCCCUCAAGAUGAGAUUUCCCAACUUCGGUUAUAAGAUCCCUCAAAGAUGAUGAGGUUAAUAGGUUCGAGGUGGAAGCAUGGUGACAUGUGGAGCUGACGAAUACUAAUCGAUCGAAGACUUAAUCAA